UGGGGAAUAUUGGACAAUGGGCGAAAGCCUGAUCCAGCCAUGCCGCGUGUGUGAAGAAGGUCUUCGGAUUGUAAAGCACUUUAAGUUGGGAGGAAGGGCAGUUACCUAAUACGUGAUUGUUUUGACGUUACCGACAGAAUAAGCACCGGCUAACUCUGUGCCAGCAGCCGCGGUAAUACAGAGGGUGCAAGCGUUAAUCGGAAUUAAUGGGCGUAAAGCGCGCGUAGGUGGUUUGUUAAGUUGGAUGUGAAAUCCCCGGGCUCAACCUGGGAACUGCAUUCAAAACUGACUGACUAGAGUAUGGUAGAGGGUGGUGGAAUUUCCUGUGUAGCGGUGAAAUGCGUAGAUAUAGGAAGGAACACCAGUGGCGAAGGCGACCACCUGGACUAAUACUGACACUGAGGUGCGAAAGCGUGGGGAGCAAACA
rnacentral:rRNA from 1 species